AACAGAAUAUAAGUUUGAAAAAUAUGCUACGGAGCAGCAGUUCUUACUCAGCUACUGAUCCGCCUGUUGAACAUGAUGAAGCUAAUCCUCUCACUGUGUCUUCUUUGGCCUGUCUCCAGCGCUGCUGGAGCCCUUUGGUGUGAGUCCUGCACUGAUGAUCUGUAUUGCAAAGAUUCAGUCCAGCGCAAAUGCCCCAAGGACUCAAUGUGCUUCACAGCCUCCAUUCUAAUUAUCUCAUCUGGACAUGUGAUACAUAGACUUUACAAGGACUGUGCACCACCAAGAGUGUGUCCUAACACGGGCCCUCAUAUCAUUUCAACUAACCUGGGUGGAAAACAGGCAGUUGCAUCAGUAAUGUGCUGUGACACUAAUGAAUGCAACUCAUACUACCUGCCUUUCCCUACUGUUCCACUAAAAAAUGGUCUGAAGUGUCCUGGUUGUGACAGCAGCCACCAUGUGUGCACGUCUGUCGUGCAUUGCAGUGGAGUGGAGAAUACCUGCUUUAAAGCAACAGUGGAGGAUGGACCACUGACAGUUGGUGGAUGUGGGUCCCCAAAUGUUUGCAACGUAACCGGGAGCCUGGAUUACCUGCCGUUCUUAGAACAUGUGGGUGCGGUCCCUGACAGACCAAAGUGUUGGCGUGCCACUAACAGUGUUGAACAUGACACAUGUGACGACCAUUCUCCAUGUGAUCAUGAUGAUGAUGACUGCUGCUGCAACGACUGCUGCUCCAACGACUGUGACUGCGACGAAGACAACAGCAAACCCGGCUACAGCAAAAAAAUGGCUGGAUAACUACUGCAACAACUCCUUAAUACCUGAUCACAGUUGAUUCCCUUGAUUUUUGUACAAUUUGACAAUAAUUUCUGUUAGCCAAUUACAUUUCUGUUUUUCUUUUUCUGUUUUUCUAAGCAUUUCUGUAUGUGGAAACAAGGUACCGCUAAAUGAAAUGUUGUAGCUUGUACUAUUUUCAACUGCUUAACAAUUUAUUUAAUAAAUAAAUAACACAUGCAUGAUCUAGCA
rnacentral:lncRNA from 1 species